CGGCCGCGUCGACGAACGCUGGCGGCGUGCGUUAAACACAUGCAAGUCGAACGGAGGACCCUUGACGGAGUUUUCGGACAACGGAUAGGAAUCCUUAGUGGCGGACGGGUGAGUAACGCGUGAGGAACCUGCCUUGGAGAGGGGAAUAACACAGAGAAAUUUGUGCUAAUACCGCAUGAUGCAGUUGGGUCGCAUGGCUCUGACUGCCAAAGAUUUUAUCGCUCUGAGAUGGCCUCGCGUCUGAUUAGGUAGUUGGUGGGGUAACGGCCUACCAAGCCGACGAUCAGUAGCCGGACUGAGAGGUUGACCGGCCACAUUGGGACUGAGACACGGCCCAGACUCCUACGGGAGGCAGCAGUAGGGAAUCUUCGGCAAUGGGGGCAACCCUGACCGAGCAACGCCGCGUGAGUGAAGAAGGUUUUCGGAUCGUAAAGCUCUGUUGUAAGUCAAGAACGGGUGUGAGAGUGGAAAGUUCACACUAUGACGGUAGCUUACCGAGAAAGGGACGGCUAACGUACGUGCCAGCAGCCGUCGACGCGGCCGUACGGG
rnacentral:rRNA from 1 species